rnacentral:rRNA from 1 species
UAGAGGAAGUAAAAGUCGUAACAAGGUUUCCGUAGGUGAACCUGCGGAAGGAUCAUUAAUGAAAUUAUAAUCCGGCGAGGGGAAAGGCGGAGAGUUGUAGCUGGCCUCCAGGGGCAUGUGCACGCUCUCUUCCGGACCUUUCGCCGUAUGGGCGCGGGGCGACCCGCGUCUUCAUAUACCUCUUCGUGUAGAAAGUCUUUGAAUGUUUUACCAUCAUCGAGUCGCGACUUCUAGGAGACGCGAUUCUUUGAGAAAAAAGUUAUUACAACUUUCAGCAACGGAUCUCUUGGCUCUCGCAUCGAUGAAGAACGCAGCGAAUCGCGAUAUGUAAUGUGAAUUGCAGAUCUACAGUGAAUCAUCGAAUCUUUGAACGCACCUUGCGCUCCUCGGUGUUCCGAGGAGCAUGCCUGUUUGAGUGUCAGUAAAUUCUCAACCCCUCUCGAUUUGCUUCGAGCGGGUGCUUGGAUGUUGGGGGCUGCCGGAGACACUGGAUUCGUCCAGGACUCGGGCUCCUCUUAAAUGAAUCGGCUCGCGGUCGACUUUCGACUUUGCAUGACAAGGCCUUUGGCGUGAUAAUGAUCGCCGUUCGCCGAAGUGCAAGACAGAAUGGUCCCGUGCCUCUAAUGCGUCGACGCCUCUAGGGGCGUCUUCCUCAUUGACGUUGACCUCA